AGAGCGAACGCUGGCGGCAGGCUUAACACAUGCAAGUCGAGCGGGCGUAGCAAUACGUCAGCGGCAGACGGGUGAGUAACGCGUGGGAACGUACCUUUUGGUUCGGAACAACCCAGGGAAACUUGGGCUAAUACCGGAUAAGCCCUUACGGGGAAAGAUUUAUCGCCGAAAGAUCGGCCCGCGUCUGAUUAGCUAGUUGGUGAGGUAAUGGCUCACCAAGGCGACGAUCAGUAGCUGGUCUGAGAGGAUGAUCAGCCACAUUGGGACUGAGACACGGCCCAAACUCCUACGGGAGGCAGCAGUGGGGAAUAUUGGACAAUGGGCGCAAGCCUGAUCCAGCCAUGCCGCGUGAGUGAUGAAGGCCCUAGGGUUGUAAAGCUCUUUUGUGCGGGAAGAUAAUGACGGUACCGCAAGAAUAAGCCCCGGACUAACCUCGCGCCAGCAGCCGC
rnacentral:rRNA from 1 species